rnacentral:SRP_RNA from 1 species
GAUUCCGGCCGGCAAGUAUCAGGAUAGCAAACUCCGCCAGGUCGGGAACGAAGCAACGGUAGCUAUAUUUGGUAUUGUGUUUGUCGGAGUCGCC